rnacentral:rRNA from 1 species
GAUCCUGCCGGANGCUACCGCUAUUGGAGUUCGAUUANNCCAUGCGAGUCGAGAGUCUUAGGGACUCGGCGUACCGCUCAGUAACACGUGGGUAACCUGCCCUAUGCUGGGGAAUAACCUCGGGAAACUGAGAAUAAUGCCCCAUAGUCCACCAUGCCUGGAACGGUUGGUGGAUCAAAGCUCCGGCGGCAUAGGAUGGGCCUGCGGCGUAUCAGGUCGUAGGGGGUGUAACGUACCCUCUAGCCAUCGACGCGUACGGGUGUUGGGAGACAUAGCCCGGAGAUGGAUUCUGAGACACGAAUCCAGACCCUACGGGGUGCAGCAGGCGCGAAAACUUGGCAAUGCGAGAAAUCGUGACCAGGGAACUCCAAGUGGCUGGGGUAAGACCCAGUCUUUUCUUGACUCUUCAACGGUCUUGGACUAAGGGGUGGGUAAGGACGGUGCCAGCCGCCGCGGUAAUACCGGCGCCUCAAGUGGUAGUCGAUUUUAUUGGGCCUAAAACGUCCGUAGCCUGUUUGGUACAUUCGUGGGUAAAUCAACCAGCUCAACUGAUUGAAUUCUGCGAGCACGGCCAGACUUGGGACCGGGAGAGGUGUGGGGU